GAUAAAACUCCGGGCGUGACACGCGGCGAGGCACGGCCGCAGCGGGCCAACGCGCGACCACCUGGCAGUGUCCCGGGAGGAGAGGAGAGGUGUCCUGGACUACGGGGCGCUUGGGGGUCUCGGCCGCAGGUCGGCCUAGCAAGGGAAGGAGAGAGUGAGGGGGAGGAAAGGGGAUGGGCUGGCUGGGAGAGAGGGAAAAG
rnacentral:lncRNA from 1 species